rnacentral:lncRNA from 1 species
UGACAUCCUAGUCUACAGCACUGAUUUAAACAAUCAUUGUUAUCAUGUUACUGUGGUUCUCAACCUUCUGAAGGAACAUCAGUUGUAUGCUAAGGGGAGCAAAUGUUCAUUUGGGCAAACCAAGGUGGAAUACCUGGGACAUAUAAUAUCUGCGGAGGGUGUGGCAGCUGAUCCCUCUAAGAUUUCAGCAAUGAUAGAGUGGCCUAAACCGACCAACAUCAAACAUUUGAGGGGAUUUUUAGGCCUAACUGGGUAUUACAGGAAAUUUGUGAAGAGAUAUGAAGCCAUAGCAAAACCAUUAACUGACUUGUUGAAGAAGGAUAAUUUCAUCUGGAAUGAGGCUGCUGAAUUGGCCUUUCAAGAGUUAAAGGGAGCUAUGAGUGCCACACCGGUCUUGGCCUUGCCAGACUUUUCCAUUCCCUUUGUCAUCGAAACUGAUGAUUGCUAUAGAGGUAUGGGGCUGUGUUAAUGCAAAGUAAGAGGCCCAUUGCUUAUUUGAGUAAAGGCAUUAACAAUAGAAACCUAGGCUUGUCCAUUUAUGAAAAAGAAGCCGCUGGCCUUGGUGACGGUGGUGGGAAAGUGGAGGCACUACUUAGAGGGACACCAUUUUAUUAUAAAGACAGAUCAUCAAUCCCUCAAACACUUGUUAGAACAGAGAAUCACUACCCCUCUAUAGCAAAAAUGGUUGACAAAGCUUUUGGGGCUUAGCUAUGAAAUACAAUACAAGAAAGGGGUGGACAAUAAAGUGGCAGAUGCACUCUCCAGAAGAGAAGGACAAGAUAUUGAAUGUUGGGCAAUUAUUACUAUAACUCUAGUAUGGAUUCAAGAGGUCAUAAGCAGCUACCAAGGGGAUGAAGAGGCACGAAGCAAGAUCACCGCACUACUACUCAAUGUGCAGGCAAAACCAGGCUAUACUUAAACAGAUGGACUCCUUAAAUAUAAUUCUCGACUGUAUAUUGGAUCUAGUGGUGGGAUAAGGAAGAAGUUGAUCAGUGUCAUUCACUCUUCCUAAGAAGGAGGGCAUUCAGGGAUUCAAGCCAGCCUACAUAGAGCAAAACAUCAUUUUUUCUAGCCUGGAAUGACUAAAGAGAUCGAGCAAGAAAUUCUGGAAUGUGACACUUGCCAAAGGUGUAAGGGUGAACAUGUGGCUUACCCUGGUCUAUUACAGCCCUACCCGAACCUCAAUAUGCUUGGAGCCACAUACCAAUGGAUUUUGUGGAAGGGUUACCUACAUCUGGGGGAAGGAAUGUAAUAUUAGUUGUGGUGGACCAAUUCACAAAAUACGGCCAUUUUCUUGUGCUAGCCCAUCCCUUCUCAGCAGUCCAGGUAGCGAAAUUGUUCUUAGAUAAUAGCUACAAAUUACAUGGGAUGCCACAAAGUAUUGUGAUAGACAGGGACAAAAUCUUUACAAGUGAAUUUUGGCAAGAGCUAUUCAAGCAUAUGGGAGCAACAUUCCAGUUAAGUUCAUCCUACUACCCACAGACAGAUGGGCAAAUGGAGAGGCUUAACCAAUGUCUUGAAAUUUACCUCAGAUGUAUGGUAUACAAACAAUCUAAGCAAUGGAGCAGGUGGAUCAGCUUGGCUGAGUGGUGGUACAACACCACUCUACACACUGCUAUUAAGAUGACACCAUUUGAAGCUUUUUACGGCAUCAAACCACCACAGUUGGCUUUGGGACCAUACCAACAACUUAAUGUGGUUGUAUGGAAGAGUUAUUGCAAGAAAGACAUCAAAUGGAUCGAAUAUUAAGGGAGAAUCUAGCACAAGCUAGGGCAAGAAUGAAGUUAUAUGCAGAUAAACAUAGGAAGGAAAGAGAGUUUCAAGUGGGAGACUGGGUUUACCUCAAGUUACACCUGUAUGCUCAAUAGACAGUAGCUAAAAGAUUAAACAAGAAGUUGGCUGCAAAAUACUAUGGGCCUUAUCAAGUGGUACAAAAGGUUGGAAAGGUUGCUUACAAACUCGAACUACCUGCAGAUGCAAAAAUUCAUCCUGUCUUUCAUGUAUCCUUACUAAAGAAAAAAUUGGGGGAGAAAGAAGUUCCAGUUUAUGCAUUACCAGCACUAUACAAAGGAGUGGAGGAUCAAAAACAACCGCUACGAGUUUUGUCCACGAAUGAUUAAAGAGAAUAACCGAGCUAUCACUCAGUGGCUGGUACAAUGGGAAGGAACCAACGUGGAAGACGCAACUUGGGAAACAUCAGAGUUCAUUCGGUCGAUUUUUCCAUUGUUUGAACCUUGGGGACGAGGUUGUUCCACGGGGGAGGGAUGUCAUGAGGGCAAUCAAAGACCAGACAAAAUUUGGGAAAGGAAAUAGAAGAGAAGCAACAGGAAAGGAAGACACCAACAGGAGGAAGACCCAACGGUUAAUUGAUGAGAAACGUUGGCGUUUUAUUUUGAUUUCAUUUGUGUUGUAAUAAGCAAAACACACUUCUUUCAAUUCACGUUUUCUUUUCCAAUUCAAUUAUAACUAUCAGAAGAGAGAGAGAGUAAGGCACGUGAAAAUGAUCAUUCCAA